rnacentral:rRNA from 1 species
CCUACGGGUGGCUGCAGUGGGGAAUAUUGGACAAUGGGGGCAACCCUGAUCCAGCCAUGCCGCGUGUGUGAAGAAGGCCCUCGGGUUGUAAAGCACUUUCAGUGAGGAAGAACGCCUGGUGGUUAAUACCCAUCAGGAAAGACAUCACUCACAGAAGAAGCACCGGCUAACUCCGCGCCAGCAGCCGCGGUAAUACGGAGGGUGCGAGCGUUAAUCGGAAUUACUGGGCGUAAAGCGCGCGUAGGUGGCUUGAUAAGCCGGUUGUGAAAGCCCCGGGCUCAACCUGGGAACGGCAUCCGGAACUGUCAAGCUAGAGUGCAGGAGAGGAAGGUAGAAUUCCCGGUGUAGCGGUGAAAUGCGUAGAGAUCGGGAGGAAUACCAGUGGCGAAGGCGGCCUUCUGGACUGACACUGACACUGAGGUGCGAAAGCGUGGGUAGCAAACAGGAUUAGAUACCCUGGUAGUC